ACGCACGUGUGAAACUUGAAGGAAUUGACGGAAGGGCACCACAAGAACGCGUGGAGCAUGUGGCUUAAUUUGACUCAACGCGGGAAAUCUUACCGGGUCCGGACACACUGAGGAUUGACAGGCAAUAUUAAAUAAAGAAAAUUUUUGGACUAUCUGAUAUUUAUGUUAAAUAUGCUAGUCCUUUCAUGAUUAUGUGAUAGGUGGUGCAUGGCCGUUCUUAGUUCGUGGAGUGAUCUGUCUGCUUAAUUGCGUUUCACUAAGGGCUUAUCUAAUUAUAACGUGUGUUGCUAGAGUUUUAUACCUUUGUGACCCCUUUAAUUAGUGUGUGUCUAUAAUGGUAGCUUUGGCUCACACAAUUAAGUCCUGAAAGCAACGAACGUGACCG
rnacentral:rRNA from 1 species